rnacentral:lncRNA from 7 species
GAUUAUUUGUGGAAGAAUACCACAGGAGAAAAAAAAAUCUAGGCUGGAGAUUUCAUAGAGUUCUACUAAUGUCUUAUUUACGAUCCACUGUUGUUUUCGUAACUUGCUUGCAAGGAGCAUGAAGAAAUUCAGCAUGUUUCUGAAACUGAGUUAAUGAGAUGAAACACAGAAUUUUUUCACAUCGUUCAUCAAAAGUACUUUUUACUCUUCAGGAGAAGAAAAGGACAGACAGAAACAGCAGACUACAGCCUGAGAGUAACAGAUGGAAGAUACUGUCUAUCAAACAUAAAGCCAUGUAUUCAGAAAUCAAAAGGAUAUGCUGUUGAAAAGUUACCUUAAAAUGUUUGUCUUCCAAAAAGAAAACAUGUCAGCCUGAGGAAAGAAUAAUGCAUGGCUUAUGGAUGGAAGAAGCAACUAGAUAAAAUAGAGAUAUGUACCAUUUGUUUAAAGAAUUUGUAACUUCCGUAGUUUUUGUUAGGGCUCUAAAUCUUUCUGGCUAUCCAUGCCACAGCUGUUACUUAGAUGUUUUUUCCCUCCCUUCAUGUUUGAUUAUUUCUGUACACUUUCAAUGAGAUAAUACUUUUAAAACAUUGAGAAAUCUCAUGCUAAUACAUAUUUCCUUAACACACAUCAAAGUCACUCUUUUUCUGUCCAAUGUAACAAAUGCAUUUUAAAGGAAAUUUAAAGUGUUGUUUUUU